rnacentral:rRNA from 1 species
CUGGUGUUCGGGUUGUCACGCCAGUGGCACUGCCCGGUAGCUAAGUUCGGAAUCGAUAACCGCUGAAAGCAUCUAAGCGGGAAGCGAGCCCUGAGAUGAGUCAUCCCUGACCCCUUGAGGGUCCUAAAGGGCCGUUGGAGACCACAACGUUGAUAGGUGGGGUGUGUAAGUGCAGCGAUGCAUUGAGCUAACCCAUACUAAUUACCCGUGAGGCUUAACCAUACAACACCCAAGAAGUGUUCUG